rnacentral:lncRNA from 1 species
GUGAACUCAGCCCCAGGGCCAGCUGGAUGAGGGUCCUGAGGCUUCAGUGUGUUAGUAGAACAGGUUUGUGAACUCAGCCCCAGGACCAGCUGGAUGAGGGUCCUGAGGAUUCAGUGUGUUAGUAGAACAGGUUUGUGAACUCAGCCCCAGGACCAGCUGGAUGAGGGUCCUGAGGUUUCAGUGUGUUAGUAGAACAGGUUAGUGAACUCAGCCCCAGGACCAGCUGGAUGAGGGUCCUGAGGCUUCAGUGUGUUAGUAGAACAGGUUAGUGAACUCAGCCCCAGGACCAGCUGGAUGAGGGGACUCUUUUCUUUGCUCAGCUCUUGGCAUUGCAGGGCUUGGUAAUGAUGUGAGAGGGGGUCACUGUAUUUUAGAUGUUU